GCGGCUGGAGUAAGUGCGUCACGCGCGCCGCGUGCUCUCUUCCCCGUUAUAAGAAUCCUGUUUUCUGUUUAAAAGCUUCACUCUGAAGAGAUUAUCUGCCAAACUGAAACAUGGCAACAAAGGGAGCUGAAGCAGCAGCACAUAACAGUUCCGACAGUGAUGACAGCAUGGAUGGAGUACGCCCCACAUUUUCUACUGGGAAAAGAAUACGUCCUGAGGAACUUCUGGAAAGCAGCAACAAAUUCAUGGAAUUUUAUGCAGAACAUCUGCCUCACCUUCAGCAGACAAUCGUCCAGCUGUUUAGGAACACAGUGUUUUAUAUAAACAGAGUCAUUGAAGAAUCUCAGAGUGGUGCGGGAGGUUUUGCAGCUUGGGUUUUCAGAGUUGGACAGAACCUUUCUGCUGAAGACGUCCUACUGGGUCCCUCCACCUCCGCUUCUUCCUUCUAUAGGUUGAGUUCAGGAGAAGACAAGCAAAACAGAAACAGAGAUGAACUACUAAAACAAGCCGAAAGAGCUGUGGAGACCUUCCAAACCACAACUGGGAACGCCAACAUCCACCUAAAAAACAUCUCUAAAGAUGUUGAAGAGAUCCUGAAGUAUCAACGUGAUGAACAGUCCACUUCACUCAGACAUGACCUAGAGAACCUCAGAGAAAAUGACAAUGUUUUAGCAGAAAUGGCUGUAUUAUUUAAGCAAGAUGACCUAGAGAUUAUUUUAGAGCAGGCACAUCGAAAUUUUCGAAACACAGAAUACCUAAAUUAUUCUCGUGGAGGUUUGCUCGGCCUCUUGAGUUUAAUCAUUGGUUUUUUUUCUGAAAAUUACAAAAUAUUGAGAGACUUUGAUGACUUGAAAGAUCACUCCAGUGUGCAGGGCAGUGAUUUGAAAACAGAAGCAGGAAAAGUAGUCUUAGAGAUUAGAGGAACACUUAAACAUUUACUAAAGACCUUAAACGAAGUGAUAGAUUCAAAACCUGGCCUAGAAAAAGUUCUCAUUCCCAAACUCAAACAGUACUUUGAAAAAAGGAAUGUGUGAUUUUAUGAUUGUGUAAUUUUAUGGACAGAAAGAACCUUUUGACUCUUUUUGUCUAGAACGCUCUCUUUCCAGAACCUCUACCAGACGAAACUCCAGUGAACUGGUUUAUUAGUUUACACAGUGUUAGACAAAAUUAUCAACUGAUGAAGAUAUGCAAAUCAGUUCUAGAUAACAAUCCAGUUGGGACCAAGUGAAACAAAUAUUCUGAGAAAAGUUUAAAAUUAAUAAUCAAAUCAUUGUAUGAAACAGUUUUAGAAUUUCAGACAAACAAGCAGAACUAAACAGUGUCCAGUCUGAUAGAGAGUCUGACUUUAUUCAUCUACUUAUUUUUUUUUCAUCAAAAACAAAAAUCAAAAGACUUCAAAGCAACAAAUUGGAAGGGUAUGUAUAGGUUUUGAUGGAUGUUUGGCUCCUUCUUGUUUUGAGGAUGCAGUGUGAGGAAGAGUGUGUGAUGGUUUUCAGGAGGAUACCGAUAACCGAUAAACAUUGUAGAAUGGACUAUACCAAUUUCUAUCAGAACAACAUUAUACUUACCAAGACUGUACAUUUAUUCUCCAACAACUAAUCCUGGCUUACUUUAGACAUUAAGGCUCUCCUUAAGAGGAAAAGAGGGGUAUUUAUUUCUGGUAAUCAGGUGGAGAAUGUACAGAGAGAAAUGUGGAGGAGGAUUAGGGAGAGGAGCUACAGACCAGUAGCACUGACAUCGCACCUGAAGAAGAACCUGGACUGAGUGCUGACCGGAUUGUUUAACUCCUCUGCUCCCUGGUGUCAAGCAAUCUGACAUCCCCCUUAUGCACAGAUCUCUUUCUCAUAUGGAGAAUUAUGUGUUUUUUCUGCAGUGCUUUAAAUACCAUCCAACCCAUGUUCCCGAGAGAAACUGGAGAGCAUGGGCUUGGAAAACUUAAACAACAAGCUGGACAGGACUGACAACACAGCUGCACUCUACAGGAAAAGGCAGGACAGGUUACAUCUCCUGAGGAGACUCGGGUCCUUUGGUGCU
rnacentral:lncRNA from 1 species